GCUUUUAGGCAGCAAAUACUACAUAAAGUCUCCUGCACUUGAACACUACAGUCAACUCAGCAACUAUUUCUGCUCUCUGACUUUUGCAGUGUUUAGUUGCUUCAGGUGGAAAGAUGUUGAGAAUCUUCGUCAAGUUCUUCCUGGUUGCUGUGUUGUGCAUUUGCUGGACCCAUGGACGCGUAGGUGAAGCUCCUUUGAAGAAUGACCUUGAGAAUGUCCCAAUGCAAAACAGGGCAACAGUGCGUGUUUGCUUGCCCGUUGGGAUAUGGGUUACAGACCCAGGGAUGGUGGAUUGGUGCAGGAAUAAUUGCUUUAACAAUCCUCCAUACUGCCCCGCAACUUACUGCGAAUGUAAGGAUUACGAUUGCUAGCAGGUCCGCUUCGGAUAUCACUUUUGCAGUUGCAACAUAAACUGCAAAAAGGAUCAGAGAUUUUUGGCAACUGACCAUCCGUAUGUCAAUGUGUUUCAGAUUGUGUUCAUAUUUGAUGUUAUUCUAAAUGAGAAAAUUAUUUUGCAAAUUUUGUUUGGUAAAUAGAUUGUAAUAUUAAGCUUUUAACUUAUAAUUAAUUCUAAAUCUGUCAUAAAAUGAUGAUUUAUAAUGUUUGGGAAACGAUGCACAUCGUUUUUUAUUGAACAAUUAUUGUAUUCUUUUGGAUUUUUUUAGUUAAUAAAAUAUUGAUUAUUUAUGAAUUAAAACUGAAUGCAGCACAA